ensembl:processed_transcript
GCAACUUUUAUCAGUUUUUCUACUUUGGAAGUUGUUCAUGAUGAACCAGCGGCGCUCCAGAAGGAGAAGAGCUCUCCCAGCUUACCUGAAGGACUUCAUGCUGGAGCACGCCUCUUCCGUUGAGGAGCGCGCAGCGGCGGUCAGGCUGGACCACAGCUACAGCUGCAUCUCGGACGCAUCUCUGGAGGAACGGCACCUGAGGAACGCGGCUGUCCUCCCUGUCCUCUGCCCUGCAGCCUCAGUCUCCUCAGUGGGCGAGUGUCAACAGGAGGAGCCACUCUUCAUCCACGGCCGGAGUGUGCAGGACUAUCGGCACAUUCAUCGCAAUGUGACGGGCUCCAUCAUGAAGAAGCGUGGUGGUAGGUACAAGUUGCAGCGAGGCCUAGAGGUCAAGCAGCGGCUGUGGGACGAGCUGGACCGGCCUGCACUGCUGGAGACCGAGCAGUCUGACGGACGUGUGGUCAUCACAGAGGUCAGAUCCUGCUCCAGAGUUGCUCCUCAAAUCAUGGUGGACAUCAGUGGAGAGCCACUUCCUGAGGAGCCCCGAAGAAAGAAGCCCAGGCACUGAACCAUCCUAGUGCCACAUGGAGCAUCAAGGGCACGAAGAAGUGCCUCAGACAAGAAGUGGAGAGCUGUGCUUUGGGGAGCCCUGCUGCUGCUGAGCUUCUAGAGCAUGUGCAGUCCAGAUCCUGGAUCUCUGCUCACCUGCACUCAAGUAAACACUGAUGCAGCACCGGUGUGACCGUUUUGUCAUUGCAGACUGUAGAAGAAGCUCCUACGAGAAGCUUGAGUUUGAUCCAGAAUUGCUGGUCAUCUUGAAAGCGAGACAACCUUCAGAAACCAUCCCACAAUUCCCACAACUCUC